AUAUUCCAUAUAUUUCUGUUGUAAACAGAAAUUCCUAAUACCUGAUGCAUUCCAGGUUACCAGUGGUAUGGAAGAAUAUAACUGAUUUUAGGCAUAUUUACUUUAUGUCUUACCAAUCCAUUAAAGUUUUAUUAUGUCUAAAGUUUCCUACCAGAAAUAUUUAAACUGUCCAAUGAUGUGGUUAUAUUUAUCAUGACUUUUUUUUUCACUUUGAUUUUUAAUCUUAUUUUUGUUUCUUGCAGCUAAAGGAGCCCAAAUAAAACAGAGAAAUAGACAAAGAUCUACUCCUUUCAAGUGCUCAUAUCAUGUCAAGGGAUUCAGAGAUGUCACAGGACUCUUACGACGGGACCAGGCCUAGAGUUCAAGCCUCAUGAGAAUCAGAAUCAGAGCCCCGGUGUGGCAGGGGGAAAAUGCCUCCCAGAUACCCAGGUCCUAACCCCUGGAACCUGUGAAGGUUACCUGAUAUGGAAAGGCUUCUUCGUAGAUGUGAUUAAGUUAAGGUUCUUAAGAUGGAAAGAUUACCCUGAAUCAUCAGAGUGGGUCCUAAAUGUAAUCAGAGGUGUACGUAAUAUAAGAGGGGCAAAGAGAGAUUUGACUACAGGCAGAAGAGAAGAAAACCAUGUGAUGGAAGCAGAGGGGAGGAGAGUCAGAGAGAGAAGAUGCUAUGGUGUUGGCCUUGAAGAUAGACCAAGGUUGUGAACCGAGGAAUAUAGGAAUGCAGCCUCAGAGGCUGGAAAAGAUGAAGAAACUGAGCUGAAAGUCAAGUACCUUCUGCAAAGACAUGCACAGUCUAGGGCAGGCUGGUGCAGUGUCUACAGCCCCUCGCCAUGGAACAAGAGGACACAGCUAACCAGGAAGGCCUGCACGAGGGGACAGAGUCUCUACUCACUAACACCUGUUCCUCAAGGGAAGCACAGGAGGAAGAGGGAGCUGCCUGCCUACGACACUGAGAACCUGCUCCUUCACAGGGUUUUGGUCAUAAAAACUGGGACACGGAUGUUGUGGGAAGCAGGAGUGGGGUGAGGGAUUGCCUUUCUUCAUCUCUGAAUUCAAGUUCAUGUCUCUUCUUUCCCAGAUUCUCCAGGACUGCAAAUAUGGGGCGCUGAGAAAAUGAACAUACAUGGGUGCUCCCAGCCCAGGAGUUAAUUCAAGUAGGGUUUAGUUCAAGCUGUUGAGGCACUGAUCUCGGCUCGCCCUUGUCCCUUCAGCACCCAGACCACGGGCGUGCCUUCCUCUCUCAUCUCAAUAAAGAAAGUCCCAAGGAACAGACAUUGUAACCUGUCUUUCCGCUCAGAAACACUGCAUUUUACCAGACCAGACUUCCAGAAUCUUCAGACUCUGGAGGAACGCCAAAGUCUUCUCUGUUUGCUCACUCUUGUGAAAAACAGUUUUGUCUGACUGUAAAGACAGCAGCGUCUCUCCAACAAGAUCUCACCAGCCAAUUACUGAAUUUGGAACCUUGCAUAGUUCUUUCAUGUAUUUCUUGUCUAGAACGUUCAUGUGUUAGGGCAAGGAAAGAGAAGAGUAUGAAAGAAGGAGGAAUAGGACAUUUUCGUUGUUGCUUUUCCCCUGCGAUGCUUAAAUAUCAAGGUCACACUUUCCUCUCAGAAAUGAGAACUAAACUGUGACAUUGAUUUAUGUGUUUAGGGCUCUUACAUUUAAUUUUGACACAUAUGAAACUACAAUAAUCCAAACAAAAGUUUACAAGCUCUGAAUAAGUUAUAUAUUUUACAUUUCCCUCACUGAGGAUACUUAUUUCUGGAAUGAUCAAAGUGCAUCCUAAACUUUUUGUUCUUGUUCCCGGACAGUCAAAGGAAGGUGGUGAAUUUGA